rnacentral:tRNA from 1 species
AAGAAUUUAAGUUAAAAAAACUAUUAGCCUUCAAAGCAAAAUAUAGAUCUAGAUCUAAUUCUUA